rnacentral:rRNA from 1 species
AGAGUUUGAUCAUGGCUCAGAACGAACGCUGGCGGCAUGCCUAAUACAUGCAAGUCGAACGCAGGGUCCUGGUUCGCUGGGGCCCUGAGUGGCGCACGGGUGAGUAGCGCGUGGGAACCUGCCCUGUUGUGGGGGAUAACCGAGGGAAACUUCGGCUAAUACCGCAUACGCCCGGGGAAACCCGGGGAAAGAUUUAUCGCAGCAGGAGGGGCCCGCGUCGGAUUAGCUAGUUGGUGGGGUAACGGCCCACCAAGGCGAUGAUCCGUAGCUGGUCUGAGAGGAUGAUCAGCCACACUGGGACUGAGACACGGCCCAGACUCCUACGGGAGGCAGCAGUAGGGAAUAUUGGACAAUGGGCGCAAGCCUGAUCCAGCAAUGCCGCGUGAGUGAUGAAGGCCUUCGGGUUGUAAAGCUCUUUCGCCCGCGACGAUGAUGACGGUAGCGGGAGAAGAAGCCCCGGCUAACUUCGUGCCAGCAGCCGCGGUAAUACGAAGGGGGCGAGCGUUGUUCGGAUUUACUGGGCGUAAAGGGCGCGUAGGCGGCCGAUCAAGUCAGGCGUGAAAGCCCCGGGCUCAACCUGGGAAUGGCGCUUGGGACUGGUUGGCUUGAGUUCGGGAGAGGAGAGUGGAAUUCCCAGUGUAGAGAAAUUCGUAGAUAUUGGGAAGAACACCGGUGGCGAAGGCGGCUCUCUGGACCGAGACUGACGCUGAGGCGCGAAAGCGUGGGGAGCAAACAGGAUUAGAUACCCUAGUAGUCC